rnacentral:lncRNA from 1 species
UGUCAGAAAAGUCAGUGGUAAAUUUGAGAAAGAUUUUUGUAAAAAUAUAAUUGUAUUAGUUUGCUCUCACACUGCUAUAAAGAACUACAUGAGACUGGGUAAUGUAUGAAGAAAAGAGGUUUUGUUGAUUCACAGUUCUGCAGGCUUAAUAGGGAGCAUGACUGGGAGGCCUCAGGGAACUUACGAUCAUGGCAGAAGGUGAAGAGGAAGCAAGCACCUUCUUCCCAAGGCGACAGGAGACAAAGAGAACAAAGAGGGAUGUCCACACACUUUUAAACCAUCAGAUCUUGUAAGAACUCACUCACUAUCGUGAGAACAGCAAGGGGAAACCACCCCCAUGAUCCAAUGGCCUCCUACCAGGUCCCUCCCCAAACACUGGAGAUUACAAUUCAACAUGAUAUUUGAGUGGAGACACAGAGCCAAACCAUACCAAUAAUUUUAAAAAGAACUUUUAUAUUUUAUUUAAAAGAUAAACUACUCAGAAAAUUUGCCAAUUUAGAAAAUGCUUAUUUUCAGAGAAUUGUGGGUGGUCAAAGUCUUACACUCUUUGGAAUAAUUUAAGAAAGAGAUAAUAUAACACAGGUUUAUAGAACUGAAGAUUGGUUCUUGAUUAAGAAAGCACACUCUGGGCAAUAAUAUGCUUUAAAAAAUGUCCUUUGGAAUUUAGCAAAUAAUGAUUCGUUAGUUCAGUUGCUUAAAGCAUGAUAUAAAUGAAGCCAUGCAUUGUCUCAGGAUUAAGUUGCAUGAAAAAGGUGUGCUCGAUAACAAUCUAUACCUCUGUGUAGGCUAGCCACUCACAAAUGAGUACUAGGCCAAGCUUCAUUUUUCUUGUAGAACUCUUUGUAGUGGGUCAGGGCCAUCGUCCUUGUAUACUAAUGUAUUUGCUAUUAUUUUUUCUAUUACUUCUAUAUAAUUCAAAUUUUUACUUUAACCAAUCAUGGUUUUGAGUAAGUAUGUUUUUAAAAAUGUUUUUCAUACCUAUUCCAUUCAUGAGAUGGAGUUUGCCAGGAUAGACAAGACAUUUUAUUUGGAAAAUGAUGACUAUAUUUUAAAAUAAAUGGUAGUCAUACCCUUAAGUAUGCCUACCAAAGUUCUGAGUAGUCAACUUUAUGAGGCAUUUCAUUAAAAACCCUCACUUUAACGUAUAAGGCAUUUCUUUGCUUUUUCAAAGACUGAUUUGAAUUUUUCCUUCCAGAGCUUUCAGGAGAGAUCUACUAUGUGGUCAUUUUUGCAGUUUUAUAGUUGGUUCAGCUAAUCUAGUGUUGUGCUCUUUCCUUUAGCUCUUGGGUUGAUAGCUUAUGGCAGUGAUAGUCAAGUGUAUCACGCCGUGAAGUCAACUGUUUGAAAAAACACUGUGAAGUGGUUCGAUAUGGAUAUGAUGUCAUAAUCUUCUUUUUGAAGAUAAAGAAACUAAGACUAUAUCAUAAUGUUCUUCUUGAAGAUGAAGAAAUGAAGACUCUUUUUCUAGCAAUCAGUGUCUGACCAGAUGAUAUUCUCUGAACAGAUAGUAUUAACUAGAUCUCCAAUGCAGGUAAAGUCUUAUUUUUUUGGGAAACUUAAUUUUACUUAAAAAGCACUCCCAACAUUGUAAAGUAUUUUGUUCAAAUUAUGUUUGCACAUUGUGUGUAAAAAUUAAUGUCUCAAUAUUUCUAUGGAUACUUAUACCCAUGAAAUGUUUUGUCCAUUGAAAAAAACCUAAAAAAAUCUCACUAUGUAAGAACUUAGAGGAAGGUACUUUUUCAAUCUGAUCAACUCACUAUUGAGUCUAGGAUAGCGCUUAAAAUUUUUGGAAAAAAUAUUGACUAAAUGACAUUGUAAACCUAUUAAAUCAAUUUCUUAGGGGUGGGUAUGUGCUGUAAAACAUCCUCCUCUAUACUGAUUGGUAUAUAUUUCCAUAGUUUCCUCAACGCAGCUUGCCAUGGGAUAAGCCGCAAUGAUAGGGUAAUAAAUAAGUGUGAGAUUUUAUGUGGCAAGUAUUUGGGUUAUAUUUUUCUAUUCUUUUUAACUGUGUCCUUCUACUAGAUUGAACUAUUUAAAAAUUGCUGCUUUUGUAGAUGAAAAAUUGAAUAAUGAUAAAUUUAUCAUAAUUCAAUCUAUAGAUACACAAAUAUCCUUCAUUUAUUUUUUCACCUUUGGUUUUGUGUACAAGACAAUAUAAAAGUGAUUCUUGUGUGCAAUAAUUUGUCUAAGAGAGAGCAUCAUUUGUCUUCAAACUCCCAUCGAACAUAAAUGUCCUGGAGUAAGAGACUCAUAGCCUUUGAGAGCUGGAAGAAACUAUGCUAAUCACCCAUUCCAGUUUUCUAAUUUUAAAUAAGGGAAACUAUGGGACAGUAUUUUCACUUUAGGACAUUUCAAAUCUAGAGAAGAUUAGCAUUUAAGGUAGAAAUUUCUCCUUUAGUUAUUAUCAGCAUAUUUAAAGUUGGGAUUAGAGUUGGGAUUAAAGUUCUUCUUUCCUGAUCUCCAGAAGGAAAAUUAAACCAUACAGUCAUUUUAAUUUGCAACUCUCACUUAUCUUACAGCCCAAAUCUAAGAUCACUACAGUGACCUAUCUAUCUUGACUCGAAUAUGUGAAAUUAUAGUUAAUGAAAAAAAAUUAAUUUUAAAGGUUGGUGAACUAAGUGUUUAUUUCUGUCAUUUUAGUCUGCAUUUCUAAGAUUCAGAUGUUCUGCCUACUUGCAAAAGGUUUCAUUGAGAAAGUAGUUAUCCAGCAUGUGUACAUGUGUGUGUAUAUAUACAUAGAUUCAAUACUUAUGUAUACACAUACACAAAAUACAUGUACACACAAUACAAAAUACAUAUAAAAUUUAUGUAUACACACAGGAAAAUUAGACUUUGUCAACAUCCAGAUUUUGUUUCUUUAAAGCAUUCUCUAAAAACAAUGUAAUACAAUAAAUUAUAUUUUUCCAAAGUAUUAUUAUUAUGUGGAAUGUUGGUUGAAAAAUAGACUACCUAUCAUUCAACACAAAUUGAGUCUUGGGUGGAAGUUAAAGUGAGGAAUAAAAAUCCUGCUUUGAUUUUAGCAACAUGCCUUAAUUUUCCAUAUGUGUUUUAUUUAUUCACCAAGUAUACUCUGAAGCCAUUCAGAUAUAAUAAUAAUACAGUGCUAAUGAUAUAAAGGAUUAUUUAGAUAUUUCAGAAACUGUGAGUUGUACUUAAAAUAUUUAUUAUUCAUUCCUUGAAAGGAUGAAACCAGGGUCUGUCUACACACUCUUUCUCAUACAUAGUUUAUGAAGCAGACGGAGCUGAGCAAGUUGACAUGAAAGACAUAGAACAUACUACUUAGAAGCCAAGAUGAAAUAUUUUAGCUAGUUUUGUUAAUUAAAUAAAAAAUAUUUUAACUUAAUUCGAUGGGAAAUAUUUCAAAGUUUCUCUUACAGCUAAUUAAGCUAAGUAUUAAUGUGAAUGUGUAAAGUGACUGAUUUUUAAAGCUAUCAGGAAAUUACACUCUGCCAAAUAUUAUACUGCAGCUAGAAUCUAGAUGAUGGCAGGAUAUGAAAACCAAAAAACUGUCUAAAAAUUUUAUUAAAAAUAUGAGUCAGUCUCAAUCGGUUUAUCAAGGCAUACAUUUUGUUGGAGUGCCAGAAAAGACCAUAAUGUGUAUGUGAACAUUUGUCUUUGUGUUAAAUUAAUUAGCUUUAGAAUAAAAAUGUAAAAAUUAUUUGCCCACCUGUGUGUGCCAUAGAACCAAUCAGCAAUUUGUUUGACUUUCAGGCCAAUUGCGAUUUAAGCAUUAGGCAUUGCUAAUGGGAAGGAACUAAAUACUCUCUAAUUGUUGCUAUUCUUGUUUCCAACCACAAUGUUAAAUCAUACCACUAACAAUGUAUAGAAAUGAAGCACUGCAGUGCUCCAAUAAUUAAAAAUUAAGACCUAAAUUCUGGCUCACCACUUUCUAUAGGUAAAAUAGAAUAGUGCAAACAUAUCUAUGAGUGUCUCUAUAUCAACAUACAUCAUUAGAAAUAGAUAUCUUGUGUCCUCUUGAUUUUCAUAGUAUGAUUAUCUCUUUAAAAAUAAAGGACAUGAACAGAUACUUUUCAAAAGAAGACAUACUUAUGACCAACA